CGGGGUGCUCCAGCAGUGAGGAAUAUUGCACAAUGGGGGGAACCCUGAUGCAGCAACGCCGCGUGGAGGAUGACGCAUUUCGGUGUGUAAACUCCUUUUAUAUGUCAAGAAAAUGACGGUAGCAUAUGAAUAAGCACCGGCUAACUCCGUGCCAGCAGCCGCGGUAAUACGGAGGGUGCAAGCGUUACGCGGAAUCACUGGGCGUAAAGGACGCGUAGGCGGGUUGGAAAGUCAGGUGUGAAAUCCUACAGCUUAACUGUAGAACUGCACUUGAAACUUCUAAUCUAGAGUAUGGGAGGGGGAGAUGGAAUUAGUGGUGUAGGGGUAAAAUCCGUAGAUAUCACUAGGAAUACCUAAAGCGAAGGCGAUCUCCUGGAACAUUACUGACGCUAAGGCGUGAAAGCGUGGGGAGCAAACAGGAUUAGAUACCCCGGUAGUC
rnacentral:rRNA from 1 species